GGCCAAGGUUCCCCAAAUAUUAAAUGUCACCUCAUGUGGGGUGAAGAAAUUCUGACGUUAUCUUAAAAAAGUUAACAAUUUAAGAUAAAGUCUAAAACUAUCUUUAUCAAAAUCUCCAGGAGAAAUCUUCCGGAAGGCGGAGCGAAACCUCCAAGGCCAGAAAAACGGGGAUCAAUAUGGAGCCGGUUAUCCCGACGGAAUCUCCCAGAAGAAAGAGAGAAACCUCCAAGGCCAGAAAAACGGUGUGUUGAAAGACUGGAGUUAUUUCAUACUGGACCAUGAUUCAUUUAAACUGAUAUUAAUUCUGAUGUUUCCUUCAUAGGGGAUCAAUAUGGAAUCGGUUAUCCUGGUAAUAAUACCCUAGAAAACAGCAGAUGCUUUAACCUUCUGUUAAAGCAGUUUUGACUCGUGUUGUUUACUGUUUUCAGGAGAGCAGGAGGAGAUCGAGUCGGUCGGCAAAACCCAAGGUGGACUUCAUCUAUUUUUACCCAAAGUUGAUGAACAAUUCCCAAUGCUAAUGUUUCUGUUUACAUAUUUAAUUUACUGUGGUUUUGCAUGAGGUCUUUUGGAUUCUGAAACUGCUUUGUUAAUUCAAAAUUAAUUAUUCACUGAUAUAAAAUGCCUUUUUCUUUGCAGACAAACAACUGAUGUCACUGUGAGCUAUUUGUGAGUUUUUCUGAUUUAUUUUACGUCAAAGAUUACGCAGAAUAAUGUCAUUUAUGUUGUGUGUGUUGUUUGCCCCUACAGAAGCAACAGCAGUACGGUGGUUAUGCAGAGCUCCAAGCCAUUCUACUCAUACCCCAAAAACGUGAGUAACAAAGCAGUUUGUCUGAAUGCUACACCGAUGUUUUUAUUCAUAGUUUCAUUAUUUGUUUAAAUUAAUUUCCUCUAUUGUCCAUUGUUCUUCUUUAAUCUAUUUUUUCUUUUACUUUUGCCUUUUUGCAGUAGUGAGAAAAAAAGCCUCCCUUUGCAGCAAUUGUGGUGAGCACUAGUUUGUGGUGAGGCGCAAAGGUUACCUCUCCCUUUUUUAUGUUUCACUCUUGUGUUUUUUUCACUCAACUGUUUUCCUGUGAUUAUGUUGAGCAAUGUUUCACUGGAAGAACGUGCACGGUGCAACUUGAAAACUAGCUGUUAGUAUAUCUGCAUUGUUUAUAACUUUUGGAUUUUUUCACUUUUUAGUUAAUAUUUACUAUUUCACAAAAUGAAGUAAGAAAUCUUACUUCGACAUUCACAAAAUAUUUAUAAUUAAACACAGUAAGACUGUAAUUUUGAUGAAUAACAUUGCAUUCUGAGAUGUCUAAAGGGUCAAAUGGUGUUAUGGAAGCCAGCAGUGCUGUUUUAAAAUGAGAAGGCCCUGGUUCUAUGGGGUGCCGUUUGUAAAUCAGAGAUGUAAAAUUUUUACAUCAAUGUUUUCAGAUAUUUAGCGUGUUUUAGGAGAAAAAAAACAGUUUUUGUUUUUCAAAUGCAUAUUCUCACCCUUUAAAUUAAUAUAUUUAUAAAUGUUACAUUGCAUUCUGAGAUGUCUAAAGGGUCAAAUGGUGUUAUGGAAGCCAGCAGUGCUGUUUUAAAAUGAGAAGGCCCUGGUUCAAAUCCUUGUUGAAUAUUUUCUGUACCUGGC
rnacentral:lncRNA from 1 species